UAUUGUCGACGGUCGAACAUUGUAAUCGAUAGGUAAACUAAGUAUUGUAAGAGAAAUCUAGUAUUUGUUAAUUUAUCCGAUCUCGUAUGGAUUUCUUGGCCCUUGAAGUGCGGGCCUACUAAUAUCGGUUUAAUGGAUGCCGCCAUAAAUUGUGCUUUUCAUUGUCUUGUGAAUCGUAGGAGGGCACACUGCGGUAAGAUUAAGUUAGUUUGAAAUGUAUGAGGCUGAUUUGAAUUGUUAACAGAAUAAAACGAUCGCCCCGAUCGCACCAAUCGAGCGCCACCAGGCGCACGCCGCCCUUAAAGUUCACCCUCUCUUCGGACCUACGCGUGUGGGGUAGUCGUUAACAAGGCAACUCCAUAUGAUGCAAGACAACUCCUUUUAUUCGCAGUCCUAGGGAGACUGUAAGGGCAACUUGCGCUGGAGGACGGCUUGACGACCAGCUAGAGAGUUGCCAGGAGCAAUUCCCGUACCAGUAGAGGAGUCGCAGGCAGCGACAUAGACGGGCGCAGACAGCGCCGAACACUGGGUACGGACGGAGUCGCAGUCAGCGACAGGGAGACGCAGGCCGCGUCAGUUAAGGAGACCGCAGACAGCGGUCAGGAGGCGCAAGGAGCGCCAAGCACGGGGUCCGCAGACAGCGGGCCAGAAGACGCAAGGAGCGUCAAGCAUCGCCUGCCGCAGCCAGCGGCCAGAAGGCACAGGUGCCGCCAUUUUGGAGAGCGCUGAGGCAGCGCCGUAUUUGGACCUGUUAGGAUGCAGCAUUCCCCGAAGAGGAGCUCGCGGCUGAGAGGAGGGGAAGCCACCCCUACAGCAGCGCGAGCGGAUCAGCAGCCAGUGAGUAGUGGAGCAGAAAACCGGCCGCGAGUGAACAUAACCUCGGCGGCGGCCAUUUCUAGCCCAGCCACUACGGUGACUACAGUAGCGUCCCAACCGAGGAGUACUGCUGUCACAGCUGCGGGAUCAGAGCCGGAGACGAACCAGUCCCUCACGUCGGACCUUUUGAAAAGGAUUGCGGCGUUGGAGGAGGAGCUAAAGCAGGUUAAAGCCCUGAACAGUGUGAGCACCGCCAAUUGCGCGCCAAUCGCAGUUGGCCCAAGCGCAGAUGGCGCCAUCAGUGGAGCGUCGGGGCGGCCGCCAUCUUGGAGCGGACCGCCAUUAGCCAUAUCUAACGGUGAGGCCUCAACUAACGGGGUCGGGCCGGUCCCACAUAGCGGUGUCGGUGCGAGCAGUGCGGCCUGCACGCUGCCGCCAUCUUGGAGUGGACCGCCAUUGCUAACGACUAGCAAUCAUUUUGUGGAGCCACUGUGUGCUACAAGUGUUGCGCAGACAGCGCAUGGAUUCGUGCUACCGGGCGGGAGCACCCACAACGUGGCAACAGCAUCGCCAUUUGUUGGGUCCUACGCCCCGAUAACGCCGAAUGAAUCCCAAAGAGUGUACGGGCCAAGGAAGCUUCCGGACCUGCCUGUAUUUGGAGGGCAGCCCGAGGAGUGGCCGAUCUUUAACUGUGCGUUUGUGGAGACGACCCAAGCAUACAACUGCACAGACUUGGAGAACAACCAGAGGUUGUUGAAGGCGCUGAAGGAUGAAGCACGCGAGACAGUGAAGUCGCUGCUGAUUCACCCUGGGAACGUCAGCGCCGUGAUGGAGCAGCUGCGCUUUAGGUUCGGCCGACCGGAGCAGCUUAUACGCAGCCAGCUGAACAGCGUGCGAGAGGUGCCGCCGAUUUCGGAGCAGCACCUGGCGAGGAUCGUUCCCUUUGCAACCCGAGUGAGUAACCUCACGGCCUUCUUGCAGUCAGCGAAGGCGGAGCAGCACCUGCGGAACCCAACGCUAAUGGAGGAGCUUGUGGCAAAGCUUCCUACGAGCAAGCGAGUAGACUGGGCCAGGCACGCUGCAUCGAUCGAGCCCUUUCCCACUGUGGCGCACUUCAGCGUGUGGCUGCAGGAGUACGCAAACGUCGUGUGUACGGUUUUGGACGUCGAGGGAAAGGAGCCGAGGCGUCGAGUUCUACAUGCGAGCGUCGACCAGAACGGAUGCGAUCAACAGGAUGAUCGGCAUGGAGGUUGUCCAAUUUGUGGAGGGCAACAUGCUGCGACGAGCUGCAGGGAGUUCAUUGGAGCUUCGCCACCGGGUAGGUGGAGCAUGGUGAGGAGGCAUCGGCUCUGCUUCACAUGCUUACGGAGUGGACAUACGACCAGAACCUGCGAUGUACAUGGCGAGUGCCAGAUCAACGGAUGCCGCAGAUUGCAUCACCGUCUGCUACAUGGUGCGGACGAGGAGCGAAGAUGGCCGGCGCAGCGAGGUGGCUUCAGGAGCCACAACGGAGGAAACCAGCAGUCAGCAGUUUCCAGACGCGGCCCGGACAGGAGGUCUUCGCCACGAGGUGGUUACAGGGACCACGAGGGGAGCCUACAGUCGGCUGUCCCCAGAAACAGCCUGGAGAUAAGGGCCCCGCAGCCAGCGGAGGCACCCGUGCAGAGGAACUUAAACUGCGUUGACGCCGAAGGAGGCCGACUUUUGUUCCGUAUACUGCCAGUAACGCUGUACGGAGCUGGUCGCCAGGUGGAUACAUACGCGCUCUUGGAUGAAGGAUCCUCCGUCACGAUGAUCGAUGACGAGCUACGGAGGGAUCUGGGAGUGCGAGGCGUACAUCGACAGCUGAAUAUACAAUGGUUUGGAGGAAGGGCCAGCAGAGAGCCCAGCAACGUGGUGAGCCUAGAGAUAAGUGGAGCUGGGAAUUCCACUCGCCACGCUUUAAGGAACGUGUACUCCGUUUCGAGCCUGAGUCUGCCAAUGCAGACGUUAGGUCGACGAGAUGUCCAGGGCGUGCAUAAGGAUGCGCGUCUGCCGAUGAAGCCCUACAUCAACGUGGUGCCUAAGUUGCUCAUCGGACUGGACCAUGGACAUUUGGGAUUGCCACUUAGGACGAGGCGGUUUGCCAGAGAGGGACCGUAUGCGGCCGCAACCGAGCUUGGAUGGGUUGUGUUUGGGCCAGUAAGUGGGCAAUCGACUACGCCGUCACCGAGGUCCUGCCUUCUAGCCGUGUCAAUGGAUGAUACGAUGGAAAAGAUGGUGGAGGACUACUUCGAGAUGGAAAGCUUUGGUGUGAAGCUCGCGCCACAGGUCGCAGGCAGCGAUGACGCGCGGGCACAAAGGAUCCUCGAAGAUACCACGGUGAAAGUGGGGCGUCGCUACCAGACGGGAUUACUCUGGAAGGACGACUACGCUGUGCUGCCACGGAGCUAUGAGAUGGCGCACAGACGGCUGAUCAAUGUGGAGAAGAAGUUGAAGCGCAACGGGCAGUUGGCGCUGGAAUACGAUCGUAUCAUCAAGGAUUACGUAUCCAAAGGAUAUGCGAGGAAGCUGCAGCAGGAUGAGGUCGCGGUGACGAGCGACCGGCUAUGGUAUUUGCCACAUUUUGGUGUCGAAAACCCGAACAAGCCCGGUAAGGUCCGGCUUGUGUUCGAUGCUGCAGCCAAGGUUGGAGGAACCUCGCUAAAUUCGGCGCUGGACAAGGGGCCUCAGCAUUACAAGCCCUUGCCAGCCGUGCUCUUCCACUUCAGGGAAGGAGCAGUCGGAGUCUGCGGUGACAUCAAGGAGAUGUUCCACCAAGUGCUGAUCCGACCCGAGGAUCGAUGUUCCCAACGAUUCCUUUGGAGAGAUGGCAACGACGAUCGAGACCCGGAUGUGUACGAGAUGAACGUAAUGACCUUUGGAGCAGCCUGCUCGCCGAGCGCUGCGCAUUACGUAAAGACGGUGAAUGCCCUGAAGUUUCGGGAUUCAGACCCGAGGGCAGUCAAGGCCAUCAUCGACUACCACUACGUCGAUGACUAUGUGGACAGUUUCGCUACAGAGAGCGAAGCUAUAAGUGUAUCUACCCGAGUGAAGGAGAUACAUGCGGAGGCUGGAUUCGAGUUAUGCCAGUUUUCAUCCAGCUCACCCAUCGUGGAAGCGGCGUUGGGACCACCCGGACAAGUCAAGAGCGUCGGAUGGGGUGAGGCUGAGCAGAAGAUCCUUGGAAUGCGCUGGCAGGUAGCCACGGACGACUUCAGGUUCAACGUGGAGUAUCACCGAGUGCCAAGUAGCGUUCUAAGUGGAGAUCGAGUCCCUACAAAGAGGGAGUAUUUGAGCCUGCUGAUGUCAACGUUCGACCCAUUGGGAUUCCUGUGCUGCCUGAUGAUUACAGCGAAGCUGUUGUUGAGAGAGAUCUGGAGGCAGAAGAUCCAGUGGGACGAACCACUACCGGAGGAGAUAGGCAGAGCCUUUGCGGCCUGGCGCAGGGAGAUGGACGCCGUGAGACAGUUCCGAUGCCCUCGUCACUAUUUCGGGCAUGGAGCAGUCCGGAACGUCGAGUUGCACGUGUUCGUGGAUGCAAGUCAAUCUGCAUUCGCGGCGGUGGCCUAUUGGAGGGUCACGUACGAGGAUGACAACGUGAUGGUUAGCUUCGUGUGCGCAAAGACGAAGUGCGCGCCGAUGAGAACGAUGUCGAUCCCAAGGUUGGAGCUGCAGGCAGCGGUUCUUGGAACCAGACUGAUGAACACUGUCCAGGAGGAGCACAGUGUGGACAUCAGCGAGACGGUGUUGUGGACGGACUCAAAGACGGUGCUGAGAUGGAUCGGCAGCACCCACCGCCGGUACAAGCAGUUUGUUGGCAACCGAGUGGCGGAGAUUUUGGAGUCGUCGAAGGUUUCCCAGUGGAGGUGGGUACCCACAGCUGACAACGCAGCGGAUGAUGCGACGCGGUCGCAGAAUAAGGCGGACCUUAGCCCGGAAUCACGUUGGCUAAGUGGACCCGCAUUUUUGAGACAGCCAGCGAGCGGCUGGCCGGCGCCUGAGGAGGGAACUAAGCGUGUUCCAGAUGCGCCUGAUGAAGAGGAGAUGCCCGGUGAGUUUGCAUUGGUGGCCGCGGAUGAAUUUGCCAUUCCGUUCCAGAGAUUCUCGAGCUUCAGUCGCCUGGUGAGGACCACAGCAUGGGUCUUGAGGUUUGCGCGUUGGUGUCGCAAGCAGAGAAGCGAGAUCGAGGAGUACGGACUCACUGCAUCGGAGUGUGAGGCCGCGGAGAACCUGUUAGUCAGACAGGCCCAGUUGGAGUCGUUCCCCGACGAGAUGAGGUCGGCGGGAUGCGGAAAGGACGUCGCCAGCUCGAGUGAGAUUCGAGGUCUGGCGCCUUACGUGGAUGAACAUGGAGUUCUGCGAGUUUAUGGCAGAGUUGAUGCCGCGCUGUGCAUGCCGUACAGUGCGAGGAGGCCCGUAAUACUGUCACACAGGCACAGUCUUACGGAUUUGAUUGUGAGGCACUUUCAUGCCCAGAUGAAGCAUCAAAACGUGGAUGCGACGAUUGCUCAGAUUCGGACGAGAUUCUGGGUCACGAAGAUGAGACGAGUGCUGAAGGAAGUAAUCUCGUCGUGCAACGAGUGCAAGUUGCAGCGAACGCGGCCGAUGCCGCCGAUAAUGGGACCCCUACCAGAGGAUCGACUGGAAGCGGGAGGAUGGCCAUUCAAGUACACCGGAUUGGACUACUUUGGGCCACUGCUGGUGACUGUAUCCCGUCACAGAGAGAAGCGUUGGGUCGCCUUGUUCACAUGCUUGACGACAAGGGCGAUUCAUCUGGAGUUGGCUCAUGACCUGUCGACGGAUUCCUGCAUAAUAGCGAUGAGGAACUUCGUCUGCCGUAGAGGACCAGUACAUAGACUGCGGAGUGAUAACGGCAAGAACUUCGUGGGAGCUGACAGGGAGGCCAAGCGAUUUGGAGACGUGUUCGAGACGGAGAGGAUACAGAGUGAGUUGUCCAGCAGAAGCAUUGAAUGGGAUUUCAAUUGCCCGUCGAACCCGUCUGAGGGCGGAGUAUGGGAGCGGAUGGUGCAGUGCGUCAAACGAGUGCUGCGCCAUACCCUGAAGGAAGUUGCGCCGAAGGAUCAUGUGUUGGAGAGUUUCCUGAUCGAGGCGGAGAAUGUAGUCAACUCGCGUCCGCUCACCCACUUGCCGGUGGAUGCGGACCAAGAGGCGCCGUUGACGCCAAAUGAUCUGCUCAAGGGAGCAGCUAACCUGCCGAAUACGCCUGGAUUGGAUGCGGAGCUGCCCAAGGAGGGUUCUACGCGAAAGCAGUGGAGGAUUGCUCGCAUGCUGCGAGACCGUUUCUGGAGGAGGUGGGUCCUGGAGUACCUGCCUACGCUUGUGCGCCGCGAGAAGUGGUGCCGGAGAACGGAGCCCAUCCGCCAGGGCGAUAUGGUCUUCGUCUGCGAUCCUGCCUUGCCCAGACGAGAGUGGCGCAAGGGAAUCGUGGAGGAGGUCUACAGCGGAGCUGAUGGAGUCGUCAGACGCGCUACUGUGCGCGUGAACGACAAUGGCCUAUCUCGGACAAUGUUGCGGCCCGUCUCAAAACUUGCAGUUUUGGAUUUGAGUGAAGCGGUUCUUCACGGGGUCGGGGAUGUCGACGGUCGAACAUUGUAAUCGAUAGGUAAACUAAGUAUUGUAAGAGAAAUCUAGUAUUUGUUAAUUUAUCCGAUCUCGUAUGGAUUUCUUGGCCCUUGAAGUGCGGGCCUACUAAUAUCGGUUUAAUGGAUGCCGCCAUAAAUUGUGCUUUUCAUUGUCUUGUGAAUCGUAGGAGGGCACACUGCGAAUAAAACGAUCGCCCCGAUCGCACCAAUCGAGCGCCACCAGGCGCACGCCGCCCUUAAAGUUCACCCUCUCUUCGGACCUACGCGUGUGGGGUAGUCGUUAACAAGGCAACUCCAUAUGAUGCAAGACACAUAUGUAUCUGUAUCUGUAUGUAAUAUUUUGAAGCAUUACUUUACUCGUGCGUUCGUAGUAUCUUAAAAACAAAAAAUGACUCAAACUAAUAAAAGAACUGAUUGUGGGUGAUAAA